rnacentral:rRNA from 1 species
UACAGAGGUCUCAAGCGUUGUUCGGAUUCAUUGGGCGUAAAGGGUGCGUAGGUGGCGGGGUAAGUCAGGUGUGAAAUUUCGGAGCUUAACUCCGAAACUGCAUUUGAUACUGCCUUGCUUGAGGACUGGAGAGGAGAGUGGAAUUCCUGGUGUAGCGGUGAAAUGCGCAGAUAUCAGGAAGAACACCCGUGGCGAAGGCGGCUCUCUGGGACGGUACUGACGCUGAGACGCGAAAGCGUGGGGAGCGAACAGG